CUAUGAGUUCGCAAUAUCAAGGACAUUACAGGAAUGCCAAGAUUAAAGCUGCUUUAACAGCAAUAAACAUUAAACUCGUGCUGAUUAAAACCACACAGAAAAUGGCUGAGAGCCUGCUGCAGGAAGCUGAGCUGCUGAGAGUGUGUGGUGUCCUCCUCACUGCUGAUUGGUUGGUUCUUGCCUUGUUCCUGUUUGAGCAGCUCCACCUCGUUCCUGUAGGCGUCCAGCUGGCAGCGCAGAGAGUCGUUCUCCUCCUUCAAGGCUUCUGCUUGGGAAACACCUACAGAUUCAUUCGGUUUCCAAUUCUGGCAUCAACAAGAAAUGCAAACACAUUUCCGUUGUUUAAACAAAAGCCGAUUACCGUUUCUUGAUUCUGUAACUGA